rnacentral:misc_RNA from 1 species
UUAACUAUUAGAUAGUACUCAGACAUCACUAACAUUCAGAGUUUGGUCCUCUGGCGGGCACACACGAGCAGAGCCCGCAGUGGAGGCCACGGCCCGCCAAAGCAACAAUAGUAUGUAGACACGGGUGGGUGUAAGCCGUCUAACCACCGUUUUACCGAUGUUCGACGGCCUCACUUGUAAUGAUCCUUCCGCAGGUUCACCUACGGAAA